rnacentral:ncRNA from 1 species
UCUGACUCUGUGAAAAGACAUGAGAGGUGUAGAAUAAGUGGGAGUAGCAAUACGUCGGUGAAAUACCACUACUCUUAUCGUUUUUUUACUUAUUCGAUGAAGCGGAAG